GAACCUUAUCACAACGGUGGCAUUCCAGACUCAUGUUCAGAACGUUUCCAGUCUGAUUACGUGUAAGAUUACAUAUAAAAACCAAAAGUAUGAUGCUUAAAUUGUGCAUUGUUCUGCUCCUAAUUGUGGUGGCCAAUGAAUGCAAGAAGGACGGCAGCCAUGGAUCACUGAUGUCAGAGCGUAAUAAAAAUAAACCCAAACCGAAUAAAUUUGGUCUGCGUGACGGGAUUGGCCCAACCGAACCACCCGAAGCGCUCGAACCAACCGAAGCAUCCGAAGAAUCCGAACCAACCGAGACGUCUGGUCCUGAAGAUGACACACUGGUCGCAGUACAAUUUCCUUGGAGAAAUUAAUGGCCUCGUAGGCGUUAAAUAACGAAGUGAAACUAUCACGUUUUCUUGAAGCGGAUGAUAGUGUAUAUGAAUAACUAGAAAACAUCUCCAGGAGUUGCCAGUGAAAGACGAUACUAUGUAUGUAGGUUUUAGAAGGGGCGACAUUCACAUAAUAUCGCUUAUAAGUAUGCAUAAUCAUUCGUGGAAAUACCAUUUAUUAUAAAUACAUAAAUAUAAUAUAAUAAUAUAAAUAUA